CCUACGGGCGGCAGCAGUGGGGAAUAUUGGGCAAUGGGCGCAAGCCUGACCCAGCAACGCCGCGUGAGGGAAGAAGGCUUUCGGGUUGUAAACUUCUUUUCUGAGGGACGAAGAAAGUGACGGUACCUCAGGAAUAAGCCACGGCUAACUACGUGCCAGCAGCCGCGGUAAUACGUAGGUGGCAAGCGUUAUCCGGAUUUAUUGGGUGUAAAGGGCGUGUAGGCGGGAAAGCAAGGCAGAUGUGAAAACCUAGGGCUCAACCCUGACCUUGCAUUUGAAACUGUUUUGCUUGAGUGCUGGAGAGGCAAUCGGAAUUCCGUGUGUAGCGGUGAAAUGCGUAGAUAUACGGAGGAACCCCAGUGGCGAAGGCGGAUUGCUGGACCGUAACUGACGCUGAGGCGCGAAAGCGUGGGGAGCAAACAGGAUUAGAUACCCCUGUAGUC
rnacentral:rRNA from 1 species